UUUGGAGGCUAGAGGUGGGUGCUGCUUGAACCCGACCAGGUCUUAACGGAAGCAGUCGUAAAGACAGUUGCUCAGGUUCUAGUCUCCUUAUUA
rnacentral:SRP_RNA from 1 species